ACAGGAUUCCCCUAGUAACUGCGAGUGAAGAGGGAAAAGCUCAAAUUUAAAAUCUGGCUUCCUUAGGUUGUCCGAGUUGUAAUCUAGAGAAGUGUCAUCCGCGCCGGACCGUGUACAAGUCUCCUGGAACGGAGCGUCGUAGAGGGUGAGAAUCCCGUCUUUGACACGGACUACCGGGGCUUUGUGAUGCGCUCUCAAAGAGUCGAGUUGUUUGGGAAUGCAGCUCAAAAUGGGUGGUAAAUUCCAUCUAAAGCUAAAUAUUGGCGAGAGACCGAUAGCGAACAAGUACCGUGAGGGAAAGAUGAAAAGAACUUUGGAAAGAGAGUUAAACAGUACGUGAAAUUGCUGAAAGGGAAACGCUUGAAGUCAGUCGCGUUGGUCGAGAAUCAGCCUUGCUUUUGCAUGGCUUAUUUCACGGUUCAACGGGUCAGCAUCAAUUUUGACCAUUGGAUAAAGAUGAGAGGAAUGUGGCAUCUUUAGAUGUGUUAUAGCCUCUUGUUGCAUGCAGUGGUUGGGAUUGAGGAACUCAGCACGCCGCAAGGCCGGGAGCAAUCCACGUUCGUGCUUAGGAUGCUGGCAUAAUGGCUUUAAUCGACCCGUCUUGAAACACGGACCAAGGAGUCUAACAUGCCUGCAAGUGUUUGGGUGUAAAACCCAUGCGCGUAAUGAAAGUGAAAGUUGAGAUCCCUGUCGUGGGGAGCAUCGACGCCCGGACCAGACCUUUUGUGACGGAUCCGCGGUAGAGCAUGUAUGUUGGGACCCGAAAGAUGGUGAACUAUGCCUGAAUAGGGUGAAGCCAGAGGAAACUCUGGUGGAGGCUCGUAGCGAUUCUGACGUGCAAAUCGAUCGUCAAAUUUGGGUAUAGGGGCGAAAGACUAAUCGAAC
rnacentral:rRNA from 1 species